rnacentral:rRNA from 1 species
UACGUAGGGGGCAAGCGUUGUCCGGAAUCAUUGGGCGUAAAGAGCGUGUAGGCGGCCUGAUAAGUCGGCUGUGAAAGUCAAGGGCUCAACCCUUGAAUGCCGGCCGAUACUGUCAGGCUAGAGUCCGGAAGAGGCGAGUGGAAUUCCUGGUGUAGCGGUGAAAUGUGCAGAUAUCAGGAGGAACACCUAUGGCGAAGGCAGCUCGCUGGGACGGUACUGACGCUGAGGGACGAAAGCUAGGGGAGCGAAUGGG